GCGUCACUGGGCUUUCCUGGCAACAGCUACCCAACGUGUGCUGUCGUUUCCGUGAACUUUUUCCCCUCCCCAGAUGAAAAUCAGGAGGAAAUAUUCUGAAAAAGAAGUUCUCUUAAGAAAAGAAAGAAAAACCAAAUCCCAUGAGUACAUUAGCGAUGUCCCCUUUUUCUUUAAUGACCAAAAACUAUACAAGAUGAGGUUCCCAUGGCACUUAUUUUAAAAGAUGGAAGGGAACUCAGAUGGGAUUGGUUUUGAGGAUUCCACAGCAUCACAGAGGUCACUGGGAGGCCCCUGCCCUGUGCCAACCCAUGU
rnacentral:lncRNA from 1 species